rnacentral:rRNA from 1 species
UGGAGCUGAGACCAGUCGAAGAUACCAGCUGGCUGCAACUGUUUAUUAAAAACACAGCACUGUGCAAACACGAAAGUGGACGUAUACGGUGUGACGCCUGCCCGGUGCCGGAAGGUUAAUUGAUGGGGUUAUCCGUAAGGAGAAGCUCUUGAUCGAAGCCCCGGUAAACGGCGGCCGUAACUAUAACGGUCCUAAGGUAGCGAAAUUCCUUGUCGGGUAAGUUCCGACCUGCACGAAUGGCGUAAUGAUGGCCAGGCUGUCUCCACCCGAGACUCAGUGAAAUUGAACUCGCUGUGAAGAUGCAGUGUACCCGCGGCAAGACGGAAAGACCCCGUGAACCUUUACUAUAGCUUGACACUGAACAUUGAGCCUUGAUGUGUAGGAUAGGUGGGAGGCUUUGAAGCGUGGACGCCAGUCUGCGUGGAGCCAACCUUGAAAUACCACCCUUUAAUGUUUGAUGUUCUAACGUUGGCCCCUUACCGGGGUUGCGGACAGUGUCUGGUGGGUAGUUUGACUGGGGCGGUCUCCUCCCAAAGCGUAACGGAGGAGCACGAAGGUUAGCUAAUCCUGGUCGGACAUCAGGAGGUUAGUGCAAUGGCAUAAGCUAGCUUGACUGCGAGCGUGACGGCGCGAGCAGGUGCGAAAGCAGGUCAUAGUGAUCCGGUGGUUCUGAAUGGAAGGGCCAUCGCUCAACGGAUAAAAGGUACUCCGGGGAUAACAGGCUGAUACCGCCCAAGAGUUCAUAUCGACGGCGGUGUUUGGCACCUCGAUGUCGGCUCAUCACAUCCUGGGGCUGAAGUAGGUCCCAAGGGUAUGGCUGUUCGCCAUUUAAAGUGGUACGCGAGCUGGGUUUAGAACGUCGUGAGACAGUUCGGUCCCUAUCUGCCGUGGGCGCUGGAGAAUUGAGGGGGGCUGCUCCUAGUACGAGAGGACCGGAGUGGACGCAUCACUGGUGUUCGGGUUGUCAUGCCAAUGGCACUGCCCGGUAGCUAAAUGCGGAAGAGAUAAGUGCUGAAAGCAUCUAAGCACGAAACUUGCCCCGAGAUGAGUUCUCCCUGAGACUUUAAGUCUCCUGAAGGAACGUUNNNNNNNNNNNNNGACGUUGAUAGGCCGGGUGUGUAAGCGCAGCGAUGCGUUGAGCUAACCGGUACUAAUGAACCGUGAGGCUUAACCUU